AACAGAAUGGAUAAAUUGUGGAAGAGUAAUAUCAGAAUACUACACAUCAGUAAAAAACAACAAACUUCUGCUACAAACAAUCAACAUCGAUGAAUCUUUCAGGCAAAAGGGCAAAGAAAAGUAUUGGUCUUCCAAAACAAAUAGAGGACGGAGCUGCUGCUGUUGCAUGGUGUCUAGAAACUCAGACAACUUCAUCAUUCCAUAUUUGCAUCCAAGAGAGAGAAAGAAAAACUACAAUCAUUUUCCAUUUACCCAUCAACCCAUCAACCUCCAAUGCCUUUAGGGUAUGGACGUUGCCUGGUCCCACACAAGCCAAGCAUCAAAUGGAUGGCUCAACAAGGAGGCCAAGACCAGCUAAUGUUUAGUGAGCACCCAAAGGGGCCACACUGGAGAGAACAGCACAGCUCCGUCUGAGAAACAGCUGUUCCUUCCUGCCUGAGAGGCAGAGUGAUAGAAGAUAUCACAGAAUGUUGCUGCUUUGUCUUCCACCCUGAACCCUCCACGACCUCCCUGUAGCUUCCUGAUUUUAAGUAGACAUCAAAUGAUUCUUAAUCCUUUCUGGGUCUUGGAACGAUUUGAAAAUUGUCAACAGUACUGGGAUUCCCAGAAUAAUGCACAUAUGUACAUACUCAGAUAUUCCCCAAGCCCUGGAUAUAAUUUUAAGGGAGUUCACAGACCACACUCCCCCACCCAUCUGUGGACCCAGAUUCUGUGGGUUCGAGAUUCAGAAGCCCUGUUUCUAGGCAGGCCCUCUGUUGCUAACGCCCCUCGAGAACAUCACCCUAGAUGAUUAUCCCUUCUUCCUCCACUCCUUCCCACCUUCUCCAACUGCUGGGUUUCAGCACAAAGAUUGCUUGCCAGUUAAACUGGCACCAUGGACCGCACAGUAGUUGUUUCUUGGGUCUAGAGGAAACAGCCAGAUUCCUUUAAGUAAAUCAUGUCUUAGUUAUUGAUUGUCUCCACUUGAAGUUUUUGACAAUCUCUGAUUAAAUCAUAAACCACUGCAUCCUCCAUCUCCUGCUUCAGUCUCUCAAACCAAAUGUCAGUUUCUUUGUAGCCCUUCAAUUCAAAGUUUGCAAAUUCUGGAUCUAGGCUUCAUUCUUUCACUCAUUUAAGCACUAACAUCUAUUGCAUAACUAUUAAAUGCCAGGCACUGUUCUAGGCAUCAGGGACAUAAUAAUGUACAAAACAGCCUUCAUGUUAAUUUACUUAUUCUCUUCCAAAAUGCUAAUUCUAACCAGUGCUGCUUUAAAAACCAUUAUAAUUAUUACAAUAACUGCCUAAGUUAUAAGCUCUAUUCUAAAUAGUUAAUAUGUAUUAUUAUUUUUCAGAAAACUCUAUGAGGUAGGUAUUAUUAUUAUCAUUCUUAUUUUACAGAAGUGAAAAUCAUAAAGGUUAAGUAAUUUGCCCCAGCUAGAGAGGGACAAAGACAAGAUGUAACAUGAGGCAGUUUGACUAAAUUACUUACUGCUAAAUUCAGCAUCCCUGAUUAUGGUUACAAAGCAAGAUUAGAUUCUUUAGCACUGUUGAAAUGUGAACAGAUGUAUUACAAAAAAAAUUGUCUAGCAAUGUGCAUAUAUUUAAGUAGCCCCGAGGGUUAUCUGUGGUUGCCAAGAGGCUCAAAGUCAGCAUGAAUAUAAUCAGGAGGCACUGAUGACUUUGUUACCCAGAGAUGGUUUGGGGAUCCGUCAGGAGUAUCAUGCACAUGGACAGGAAUGUGAGGCAGAGGAUUACUGGAGUUGAGCUGGCAGUCAAGGGACAAACAAGCCAAAAGUUAUAAAAAACAUAUUUUAAAAUUAUAUAUUUUUAAAUAAUCGUGAUGGACAGAAGAAAUUGUAAUCCUGAGGCAAUAACUGAGAAAGUAUUGAGUAGGUAAUAAAAGGCCUGAGUAGGCUGAAAUAAAUGUUUUAAAAUAGCAGUUUCCUGUAUCCAUGGCUUCUAAAGACCUCCGUUAGUGCGAAUAGUAACUCAAAUGAAAUUUAGAACCAAGAAUAAUUGAGAGGGGUAGCUCACAGGCAGGAGUGAAUUGUGUUUUGCAGGAUUUGAAGAUUAUACAAUUUGGAUGACUCUUCUUUAAAAAAUUACUAAUACCAAAUUAGAUCUAGGGCCUUGGGAAGGGCCUGGAAGCAUAAGCUACAUUACCUUUAUAGCAAACCCAGCUUGGACUCAUGGAGAAGGUUGCUAAGAAACACAUACAUUGCUAGAUCAGGACAGUGGUGAUUCUGAUAAGGCUGAAUGCCCAAUUUGGAGAACUUUGUGAUCCAGAGAACAGUGAUUUGAAGGCACUUUGACAUGAAGAUGCAACACAACAGUGGAUGUGGUUUGAAGGAGGGCUUUGGCAAUCCAAACAACUGAAAGAGACAUCCUGUGUAAAUUUUAAUGAGAUAUCAAUUUUUGCCAUUCAAUUUCUCAAUUUUAAAAAAUUAUACUGCUGAGCCAGCCUCCAGCUAACUUAUACAGUACCUAUGUACCAUUUACAAAAAUAUGUCUAUUUAGGCUGACAAGGUGGAAAGACAAACCCCUUCUGGGCAGGUGGGGUGGUAUUGUAUGACAAUCUGGUGGAGCUUUCAGGCAAGCAUUUCUUUCUUUCAAAGCAUUUCUUUCUUUCUCUGUGGUGUCGCACUUGCAGGGAGCAAGGCUGGGCAAGGGAACUGCUGAGUGAAUUUCAGCCCUAAUUCAUCCUCUCAGCUAGGUACCUUUGCACAGUGUCCAAACUGUACAACCAAACAAGGCAGUCCUGUACCUACAGGUGUAGUGAUUUUAACAGCAUGACUAAAGGAACCUAAAAAUGUGCAAUCCUCUGGCCCAGAAAGUCCACUUCUUGGAAUUUAUUCUAAGAAAAUUAUCAGGGAAAAGUACAAGUACAAAUAUUUAUAUAGAACACUUCUAGAAAGUGUUUAUAUAAAGAAAAAUUGAAAACAACUUGUAUGUCCAAUAAUACAACAUGGAUAAAUUAACUUGUGACUCAGCCUAACAAUAGAAUACUGACCAUCCAUUAAAUGAAUUUUAAAUGGCAAGAGGAAAUGUUCAUGACAUAAUUAUAAAUUAAAAACCAAGAAAGGAAACUAUGCAGACUAUAAAAAUAUGUGUGUUUGUUAAAAAAGACCAGAAAACACCAAACUAUUAAUAUUAAAAGUAGUUAUCUAUGGAGCAUUAUCUGUGGAUUACAGGCAAUUUUAUUUUCUUAUUCAUAUUUUUCCAUAUUAAAAUUUUUUUACCUUGUAAAUGUCAUACUCUUACCUUUAUUGCAAACAUAUUUUAAAGUCGUAUCCAGACUUGAAGGGCAGAGACAAAAUUGGAGCAGUGAGUGAAUGUUGCCUUGACCUCAUGGGUGUAGUGUUUGCAUCUCAUUGAUUUCCACUUUGCAUCAAGUCCCAUGCCUCUGGUGGCUCGGGUGUGCCUUGCUUCAUUACCCUCUGUCCCAUAGUGAUGGAUGGUCAUCGGAGGAAUGCGAUAUCUCCCUAUGACUAUCCCUACUUUUCAAAGCCCCAGGAGUAUCUCCAUGUACUUCAGCACUAUGACAAAACAGCUUCGGGUCACUAAAGACACUUAUCCAGAAGCCACCAUAGAAGGUGAAGAUAAUGUGAGUCAGACUAGAGCAGCUAAUUGACUUAGCUAUUGACUUUCAGAUUUAUGGGACACCACUGCUGAGUAAUUAAAUUUACUGAGCUAUUUCAACAAGAUAUUAACUUUAAGUAAUCCUCACUAAACAUAAAUUGAGAGCUGGA
rnacentral:lncRNA from 10 species